ACUCAAUAGAUACCCAGGUAGUCCACGCCGUAAACGAUGAAUGCUAGCCGUUGGCGAGCUUGCUCGUCAGUGGCGCAGCUAACGCUUUAAGCAUUCCGCCUGGGGAGUACGGUCGCAAGAUUAAAACUCAAAGGAAUUGACGGGGCCCGCACAAGCGGUGGAGCAUGUGGUUCAAUUCGACGCAACGCGAAGAACCUUACCAGCCCUUGACAUGCCACGACGGUUUCCAGAGAUGGAUUCUUCCCGCAAGGGCGUGACACAGGUGCUGCAUGGCUGUCGUCAGCUCGUGUCGUGAGAUGUUGGGUUAAGUCCCGCAACGAGCG
rnacentral:rRNA from 1 species